GACGAACGCUGGCGGCGUGCUUAACACAUGCAAGUCGAACGGAAAGGCCCUGCUUUUGUGGGGUGCUCGAGUGGCGGACGGGUGAGUAACACGUGAGUAACCUGCCCUUGACUUUGGGAUAACUUCAGGAAACUGGGGCUAAUACCGGAUAGGAGCUCCUGCUGCAUGGUGGGGGUUGGAAAGUUUCGGCGGUUGGGGAUGGACUCGCGGCUUAUCAACUUGUUGGUGGGGUAGUGGCUUACCAAGGCUUUGACGGGUAGCCGGCCUGAGAGGGUGACCGGCCACAUUGGGACUGAGAUACGGCCCAGACUCCUACGGGAGGCAGCAGUGGGGAAUAUUGCACAAUGGGCGGAAGCCUGAUGCAGCAACGCCGCGUGCGGGAUGACGGCCUUCGGGUUGUAAACCGCUUUCGCCUGUGACGAAGCGUGAGUGACGGUAAUGGGUAAAGAAGCACCGGCUAACUACGUG
rnacentral:rRNA from 1 species